CAAAUAGAAUGAUAGGCACUUAUUAUUAUUUUUACAAAAAUGAUUUAAUGGUGUACCAAGUAACAUCUUAGUAAAUCGGGAAACUUAUCUUUACAUGCCAUGAGAAAUACAAUGAGCUAAAAAACAAAUUUAAAAAUAAUAAUAAUAAUAACAUAACGAAUUCAGAGAACAAUUUUGCUGGAAUCGAAGUACCUCUUAACAUGCAGUUUGAAUUCAGCAGUAGAAAGGGAAUUUAUCCGUAUCAGUGAUGUAUUAAGAAUAGAUUUGUUAUGUUCUCAUCAUAGUGCAGCAAUUUUCAACUUGCUGACUCCAGCAAAAAGAAAAUAUCUACAUAUGGAUGAUAUCAACAUAAUGUAAGAAAAGCCAAAGUUCCCUCCUGCCUCAUUUCCCAUCUGCUAGAGCAAGCACAUUACAUUGCUAAUUCAGUCCUCAUUACAUUGCUAAUUCAGUCCUCGUUCCUUUGGUCAUGUCCAUUAACUUGGUUCUCUACAUUGGCUCCUACAUCUUCUCCAGCCCCAUAGUGAACCCAUGGCAACAUUGACUCGAACAAAACAGCCAAUGCAUGGCGAUUUGCAACAUCACGUGGAGCAGGACCACCAGCAGGUAGAUUGGCAAUUUGGCCUCCAUUUUGCUCAGCUUCCCUCAGCCUUGGAUCAACCAUGAAAUUUUGCAGGUUCUCCGGUGGAAGAGUUGGUACAGUAUCAGAAAAAUCUGAAACCAGCAAAUGGCUAUACUCAUUGUUCUCAGAUGAGAAAGCCUCUUUUCGCACACAAGCCCAAUCCCUAGCUUCACUGCUUUUAUGUUCUAGAGUUUCAAUUACUUGCAAAGCUGCAUCACGAAGCAACUUCUGCAAAUCUGGAAGCCUCCAUAUGAUAUAACUUCUCUCUAUGUAUAUAUUGAUAAGAUGGUCCAAAGAUGGGGACCCCGUUUUCUCUGAUCUAAAAAAAGCAUGCUUUAGCAUAUUGGCCCAUGCCUGAUCUUUUAAAGGUACCUUGUCUACAAGCUUUUUAAGAACAGAAGGGUGAAGCAUCAAUGCCUGCUUCAUCAAAUCUACUGAAGUAGACUUUGUAGCAAGCACAGAAGUAUCCUUUGCAGGUUCCUCUCGCUCAAGAUAAAGUCGGCAUAUUGCAAGGGAAUAUGAGAAAUUUGGAAACAACCAUAAGGAAUUAUCACCUUUAUAGUCUUCUGAAAAUCGUUCCAACCAUGCAUACUCCUCUGCCCUCAAACUAAAGUAGUCAAUACAGAACAACGCCCCCAUUGGAUCAUCUAAAUCCAGUGAAAGCAAUAAUUUGCAUACUUCAAGAGCAGAUCGAUGGCAUCCACGCCUAUCCAUGUUUUUCAUGUGAGUGAAAAGUGUUGUGAAUAUUGGCUUGUUUGUUUCAUGGCUGAUCUUCAACUGGCAAUUGCCUUGCAAGAGGGUGAACAUGGGAUGCCAUGCACAUUCCAAGGCGUACAAACUCUUUGCAAUAGCAUCAGCUGACAUUUGAUGUUCACCCACAAAUUUGAAAUAGUCUGCCAUUGUUAUAAGUGAAUCUAAAUGAUAUGGGUUGUAUAACAAAAUGCUUGCUAUGCCAUUUAGAUCAUGAAUAGCUUUGGCAGCUUCAAAUGCUCUUUGAGCUUGAUCAUAGGAAAAUGAGCGCACAUACCUACAUGAAUAAAACAUAUCUAAAAUUACGAAAGCUAAAUUCAAAGUGAUGAUAUUAAAAACCAACAAGAUAGUAUGCUAACUUAGGAAAAACUAGAAAAGAGGAGAAAUAGAUUCAAGAAAUGGGAGGGGAGAUCAUGUAACAAGCAGAAAUGAGUGAAUGCAAAUACCUUAGCUUUCUUAAAGGUGUAAAGCAGAAAACACUACAAAAGUUUAACUUCAUUAAUGGGGCAGAAGCAAUGAUUCAAUUAAAAAAAAAAAAAAUACCAAAAACCUGGCAACCCAUAUCUGAUGAGCAUAUAUAGAGAACCCUAAAAAAUACAAAAGAAACCAAACUCCUAAGUCCAAAUCAGCCUGAGAAUCCAAAAAGGAAGAAUGGAGAGAUCACACACAUAAGAAAAAAUAAAAUUUCAAUAAAACAAAUCCAGUGCACAGUUGGCAUUCUCACCUCUUCACACGCAUUGCAAUCUGACCAGAAUAUAAACCGCUCGAAUUUUUUUUUUCACCAAAUGUCUUUUUCGCACAUGGAAGAUCAAUUGGAUGUCAAAUAUAUACAAUGUUAAAUUUUAGGGCACGUGGCAAAUAGAAUCUAUAACUGAUAACAGCAAUGUUAUAACUAUUUCUCAACUUCAGAACAUGGACAUACUCCUGCGAAAGCAUGAGAAAUAAAGGAAACAUCCCAGGAAAUAAAGCAGUGAAGUGGGAAAUUCCCAACAGUAUCAAGCAAUAAAGGAUAUUUCUUUUACCUAAAAUGAUGAUAUCCAUCCCUAGUCUCCAAAAAUUCCAUAGAUAGAGAUCCAUCCCAGCGAGGCCAAUGUUCUGAUGGAGAGACUAGAAUAGUCUUUCUGGUAUGAUGGCUUCCACGUCUUGCCCCACGAACCUGCCUAGAACUGCUGGCUUGAUUACUUCUCUCAAAAGAUUUCACCACCUUAGAACCAAAAAUUCUUCGCAACUCGUUCUCAGGAUUUAGACAUUUGGGAUCCACUUGUAGGAUGGAUGGCGCACAUUGCUUAGUAAACUCUUCACGAAGUUUUGCAUUUUCUAGUCCGGUUUUGACAGGGUCAGGUUGAUUUCUUGAAGAAUUAACAUCCAAGGACACAGUUUCUAGUGCCUCAUCCAAUAGUUUUUCACCUUUAUUUGUACUUGAAGAUGGGGCUGCCUUGUUUUUCUUCUUCUUCUUUUUCUUGGAUUUCUGACUGGAUGAUGACACUACACUAGCCAAGCUUUCCGUCGCAGAGGGUUCUUGUUUGUAAUUGUUUCCCAUCAAGGAUUCAUCAGUAAUUUCUGACUCAUUCUCCUGAUCAGAGUCAUCGUCGUUAAGGAGGUCGAAAGGAUUUAUGGCAGGGAGACUGGACGAAUCAGAAGAUUCUGCUUCCUCUUCUACUUCGUGGUGCUGCAGCUGGCGCUCCUGUUCUUUCAAGACUUUCUUCAGCAACCUAGCUGACAUUAUUUUUAUACGUGAAAUUAUCAACUUCAGAAUCGGUGCAGAAGGACGAGAAUAUAAGCUCUGAUAGGUUGGAUGGAUUCUUGGUUUCUAAACGGGAAAAGUAAGUUAAAACAAGAGCAAUUGCUUCGUCGAUGGCGUGAUGAUGGUGGCGGUGAAGACUGAACUCUGGAGAGAUGGCGUUCAGCUGAUCUCGAGCAUUGGUUGCCUAAAAGCUGUG
rnacentral:misc_RNA from 1 species